rnacentral:rRNA from 1 species
GACGCUCUCCCCAAGGACGAAGCCAUGCAUGCCCGCUCACCCGGGACGCGGCGGACGGCUCAGGACGACGGUUGCACCCCCCGCGGCGGUCCCUGCUAGCCGGACACCGCUGGCAACCCGGCGCCAAGAC